GCUGAACCCCGCGAUCGUUUUUUCGGUCGCGUGGAAUGUAGCGUUCGGGAGCGUCCGUUAUCCCGUGAGCGUGUGGUGCGUCCAAGUCCUUCUUGAACGGGGCCAUUAUCCCAGAGAGGGUGCCAGGCCCGUAGUGACCACUGCCGUUUGCGGGAGGCCGUCUCCUUAGAGUCGGGUUGCUUGAGAGUGCAGCCCUAAGUGGGUGGUAAACUCCAUCUAAGGCUAAAUAUUACCACGAGACCGAUAGCGAACAAGUACCGUGAGGGAAAGUUGAAAAGAACUUUGAAGAGAGAGUUCAAAAGUACGUGAAACCGUUCAGAGGUAAACCUGAGAAACCCGAAAGGUCGAUGGGAGAGAUUCAACCGCGUUGCGGGCGUCGGCAGUUCGAACGAUAUCGACGGACGGCGAUUCCUUCUCGGUUUCGUUUUCCGUGUCGUGCGUUCUUGUUCGGCCUCGUACGCGUGCACUUCUCUCCUAGUAGGACGUCGCGACCCGUUGGGUGUCGGUCUGGGGCUUCCGGUGGUGCCCGAACGAUCGGUCUAGUGCCGCGUCGUUCGGACCCGGGACGCCGUUGUUCGACCGACUCGCCCGACGGUAUGGUUUAUAGUAGAGAGAGACGAGGGGCCGCGAUCUGAUCGCGCUUGACCCGUGCAGGUGCGAUCGCGUUUCGAAAUUCGGACUAUGUCCGGAUCAGAAGCCGGUCCGCCGUUCGCUGCGGUGUUCUCGAGCCGACCCCAAUAUACACGAUUGUCGUUGUAUGUGCCGUAAGAAAGCACGAAUGUCUGUCNGCNAC
rnacentral:rRNA from 1 species